rnacentral:rRNA from 1 species
UACGUAGGGUGCGAGCGUUAAUCGGAAUUACUGGGCGUAAAGGUCGCGUAGGCGGUCAUUUAAGAUUGAUGUGAAAUCCCUGGGCUUAACCUAGGAACUGCAUUGAUUACUGGAUGGCUGGAGUACUGUAGAGGGUAGUGGAAUUUCCGGUGUAGCGGUGAAAUGCGUAGAGAUCGGAAGGAACACCAAUGGCGAAGGCGGCUACCUGGACAGAUACUGACGCUGAGGCGCGAGAGCGUGGGGAGCAAACAGG